AGGCAGGUCGACGGUGAUGGCGGUGCGCCGAUGCGGGACGAUGCCGCUCG
rnacentral:sRNA from 1 species